GACGAACGCUGGCGGCGUGCUUAACACAUGCAAGUCGAACGGUGAAGCGCCUUCCUUUUUGGUGGGUGUGGAUGAGUGGCGAACGGGUGAGUAACACGUGAGUAACCUGCCCCCUUCUUCUGGAUAACCGCAUGAAAGUGUGGCUAAUACGGGAUAUUCUGGGUCUGUCGCAUGAUGGGUCUGGGAAAGAUAUUGUUUCGGUGGGGGAUGGGCUCGCGGCCUAUCAGCUUGUUGGUGGGGUGAUGGCCUACCAAGGCGGUGACGAGUAGCCGGCCUGAGAGGGUGGGCGGUCCCACUGCUGCGAAGACGCCGACCCGACUCCGACAGGAGGCAGCAGGGGAUAAUAUGGCACAGGGGGCGGAAGGCUGAAGCAGCGACGCCGCGGGGGUGAUGGAGGCCGGCGGGUUGUGAACCUCUUUCGCGAGUGAAGCAGGGCUGCCUCGUUUGUGGGUGGGUUGACGGUAGCUGGAUAAGAAGCGCCGGCUAACUACGUG
rnacentral:rRNA from 1 species